rnacentral:hammerhead_ribozyme from 1 species
AUUCAUCUGACGAGUCCCAAAUAGGACGAUACUUGGGUCAUGGAU